UAAUAUGAUCAUUAUACAACCCUUUUUCCAUUGAUAUUAUUGCUGCAUAAAGAUACCUGCCUACUGAAC
rnacentral:snoRNA from 1 species